rnacentral:rRNA from 1 species
AAUGAACGCUGGCGGCAUGCCUAACACAUGCAAGUCGAACGAAGGCUUUGGCCUUAGUGGCGCACGGGUGCGUAACGCGUGGGAACCUGCCCUCGGGUUCGGAAUAACAGUUAGAAAUGACUGCUAAUACCGGAUGAUGUCGUGAGACCACAGAUUUAUCGCCCAAGGAAGAGACCGCUUAGGAUUAGCUAGUUUGUGGGGUAAAGGCCCACCAAGGCGACGAGCCUUAGCUGGUCUGAGAUGAUGAUCAGCCACACUGUGACUGAGACACGGUCCAGACUCCUACGGGAGUUAGUAGUGGGGAAUAUUGGACAAUGGGCGAAAGCCUGAUCCAGCAAUGCCGCGUGAGUGAUGAAGGCCUUAGGGUUGUAAAGCUCUUCUACCCGGGACGAUAAUGACAGUACCGGGAGAAUAAGCUCCUGCUAACUUCGUGCCAGCCGCCGCCGUAACAC